rfam:Macrostomum lignano unitig_47720, whole genome shotgun sequence.
UAUCUGGUUGAUCCUGCCAGUAGUCAUAUGCUUGUCUCAAAGAUUAAGCCAUGCAUGUCUAAGUACAAACCUUAAUACGGUGAAACCGCGAAUGGCUCAUUAAAUCAGCUAUGGUUCCUUAGAUCGUCUCAUCCUACUCGGAUAACUGUGGAAAAUCUAGAGCUAAUACGUGCUUACAAGCCCUGACCUCACGGGAGGGCGCAUUUAUUAGAUCAAAACCAAUCGGGGCUUGCCCCGUCUGCUUGGUGACUCUGGAUAACUUUUGUGCUGAUCGCAUGGCCUCUGCGCUGGCGACGUAUCUUUCAAGUGUCUGCCCUAUCAACUUACGAUGGUAGGUGAUAUGCCUACCAUGGUUAUAACGGGUAACGGGGAAUCAGGGUUCGAUUCCGGAGAGGGAGCCUGAGAAACGGCUACCACAUCUAAGGAAGGCAGCAGGCGCGCAAAUUACCCACUCCCGGCACGGGGAGGUAGUGACGAAAAAUAACGAUACGGGACUCUUUUGAGGCCCCGUAAUUGGAAUGAGUACACUUUAAAUCCGUUAACAAGUAUCUAUUGGAGGGCAAGUCUGGUGCCAGCAGCCGCGGUAAUUCCAGCUCCAAUAGCGUAUAUUAAUGUUGCUGCAGUUAAAAAGCUCGUAGUUGGAUCUGAGGACUCGAAUUGGUGGUGCACCAUACGGUGUUACUGCCGAUUCGGCCUACCUAGUCGGUGCUCGCUCUUGGUGUUCUUAAUUGAAUGCCCUGAGUGCCCGGCAAGUUUACUUUGAAAAAAUUAGAGUGCUCAAAGCAGGCCAUUAGCCGGAAUACUUCAGCAUGGAAUAAUGGAAUAGGACUUCGGUUCUAUUUUGUUGGUUUUCGGAACCCGAGGUAAUGAUUAAGAGAGACAGACGGGGGCAUUCGUACUGCGGUGUUAGAGGUGAAAUUCUUGGAUCGCCGCAAGACGAACAACUGCGAAAGCAUUUGCCAAGAAUGUUUUCAUUAAUCAAGAACGAAAGUCAGAGGUUCGAAGACGAUCAGAUACCGUCCUAGUUCUGACCAUAAACGAUGCCAACUGGCGAUCCGAGAUCGUUUGCUUAUUGACCUCUCGGGCAGCCUCCGGGAAACCAAAGUUUUUAGGUUCCGGGGGAAGUAUGGUUGCAAAGCUGGAAACUGUUCAAUUGCAACUCUGCCUGUGACACCAAGUGGUCGGGUUACUUGGUCUGUUCUGGCCCGGAGUCGGUAGGGUUUCCGGCCUUGUGCUCUUUCCUUACUGUUCUCUGUAACGCCGAAGGCGGGGCUUCCACGGUGGGGAAGCGGUUGUACAAAUCCGGCAAAUCCAGCCAAAUGGGUUCCGGACUCUGUCCAACCUGCAACUGGUAACAGCCUCGGCUGGCUAACAUUUGAGCUGGGACUCGCUUGGGAGGAGCGAGGAUAAUAUAAACCUCUAUGUGACUGAGGUGAGGAAUCUGGUUCUCGUAAAAUGGCUGGAGAUCCCGAGCCUGUAAGUCAUAAAUUAGUUCCCCCACGAGGGGAGGUGUCGAAUUGAAGCCAGUGCGUGCCCUUACUAGUUUAAGGGAUUGUAUACUUCCUUUGGUGUACCCACCUGGAAGUGCCCAAGGGGUCCUAUCCCUGCACUCCAUCCCCGAUUGGAGUCAGGUGACGGCUCCUUACCUCACCAGACGCGGCCGGACCCCGGAAGGGGUCUGGGCCCCGAAGCCUGACGGCGUCGGGGUGCAGGAAGCCUCUAGGCGACCAGCCCAGCCGUGCAGAAAUGCAGUAGGCCUUUAUCUGGCUAUUAACGGUAAAUUCACCGGGCCAGUGUCUGACCGAGGUUUUGUGGCACCUUGCUAGGAAAGAGGGUGGACCAGGCAGGGGCGGUUGUAUCCGAAAGGUCGCCGUCUCCCUCCGUUUUGCCUGGCUCCGCAAGGGGCGUGUCUACGUCUCCUGCUGUGGGACUCGCCGUCUCCUGUUCUCAGUUGACGGGCCAGCAGCCUAACGGCGGCUGGUUGUGGCGACCUACCGGAAGCUACACGAGAGCGGGCCUAAAGGCCCGCCCGCAGUUGGGGGGCGGAGACCGCCGCCCCCCAAACCCCCCACGGUACACUAAAGGAAUUGACGGAAGGGCACCACCAGGAGUGGAGCCUGCGGCUUAAUUUGACUCAACACGGGAAAACUCACCCGGCCCGGACACUGUUAGGAUUGACAGAUUGAGAGCUCUUUCUUGAU